rnacentral:rRNA from 1 species
AGUUGGUAGAGUAAAGGCCUACCAAGGCGACGAUCCGUAACUGGUCUGAGAGGAUGAUCAGUCACACUGGAACUGAGACACGGUCCAGACUCCUACGGGAGGCAGCAGUGGGGAAUAUUGGACAAUGGGGAAAGCCUGAUCCAGCCAUGCCGCGUGUGUGAAGAAGGUCUUCGGAUUGUAAAGCACUUUAAGUUGGGAGGAAGGGCAGUAAGUUAAUACCUUGCUGUUUUGACGUUACCAACAGAAUAAGCACCGCUAACUUCGUGCCAGCAGCCGCGGUAAUACGAAGGGUGCAAGCGUUAAUCGGAAUUACUGGGCGUAAAGCGCGCGUAGGUGGUUCAGCAAGUUGGAUGUGAAAUCCCCGGGCUCAACUGGGAACUGCAUCCAAAAUACUGAGCUAGAGUACGGUAGAGGGUGGUGGAAUUUCCUGUGUAGCGGUGAAAUGCGUAGAUAUAGGAAGGAACACCAGUGGCGAAGGCGACCACCUGGACUGAUACUGACACUGAGGUGCGAAAGCGUGGGGAGCAAAAGGAUUAGAUACCCUGGUAGUCCACGCCGUACACGAUGUCGACUAGCGUUGGGAUCCUUGAGAUCUUAGUGGCGCAGCUAACGCGAUAAGUCGACCGCCUGGGGAGUACGGCCGCAAGGUUAAAACUCAAAUGAAUUGCGGGGGCCCGCACAAGCGGUGGAGCAUGUGGUUUAUU